rnacentral:rRNA from 1 species
AUGCAAGUCGAGCGGUAACAGGAAGUAGCUUGCUACUUCGCUGACGAGCGGCGGACGGGUGAGUAAUGCAUAGGAAGUUGCCCUGAUGUGGGGGAUAACCAUUGGAAACGAUGGCUAAUACCGCAUAAUCUCUUUUCUGUGAAAAGAGGGGAGCAAAGCGGGGGACCUUCGGGCCUCGCGCGUUAGGAUACGCCUAUGUGGGAUUAGCUAGUUGGUGAGGUAAUGGCUCACCAAGGCGACGAUCCCUAGCUGGUCUGAGAGGAUGAUCAGCCACACUGGGACUGAGACACGGCCCAGACUCCUACGGGAGGCAGCAGUGGGGAAUAUUGCACAAUGGGCGAAAGCCUGAUGCAGCCAUGCCGCGUGUAUGAAGAAGGCCUUCGGGUUGUAAAGUACUUUCAGUUGUGAGGAAGGUAGUGUAGUUAAUAGCUGCAUUGCUUGACGUUAGCAACAGAAGAAGCACCGGCUAACUCCGUGCCAGCAGCCGCGGUAAUACGGAGGGUGCGAGCGUUAAUCGGAAUUACUGGGCGUAAAGCGCAUGCAGGUGGUUCGUUAAGUCAGAUGUGAAAGCCCGGGGCUCAACCUCGGAACUGCAUUUGAAACUGGCGGACUAGAGUACUGUAGAGGGGGGUAGAAUUUCAGGUGUAGCGGUGAAAUGCGUAGAGAUCUGAAGGAAUACCAGUGGCGAAGGCGGCCCCCUGGACAGAUACUGACACUCAGAUGCGAAAGCGUGGGGAGCAAACAGGAUUAGAUACCCUGGUAGUCCACGCCGUANACGAUGUCUACUUGGAGGUUGUGGCCUUGAGCCGUGGCUUUCGGAGCUAACGCGUUAAGUAGACCGCCUGGGGAGUACGGUCGCAAGAUUAAAACUCAAAUGAAUUGACGGGGGCCCGCACAAGCGGUGGAGCAUGUGGUUUAAUUCGAUGCAACGCGAAGAACCUUACCUACUCUUGACAUCCAGAGAACUUUCCAGAGAUGGAUUGGUGGCCUUC